rnacentral:lncRNA from 1 species
AUGUUUGAUCUUUUAACCUAAACAAACCUUAAAAUGCUAAGAAUAGUACGUGUGAUUCUCGUUUUGGAAGGGGUGGAUUAUAAAUCACAUUAUCAUAUGACGUCCCAAUUGUAUGCGGUCCUCCAAACUCAAGUACGGAAGUUUGACCAGCAGUACUGCCCCUAAGGGCUAUGAAAUAGUAGGGUUAUAGGUGUUAGCUGCUCUGCUGCCACCAACUGAUAGUACAAGGUAAAUAUUGCGUAUUACUACCAUUUACCAACAAAAAAAG